UAAACCAUAUGUGGCAUUACAAAUACAUAAUCUAUUCAGACAUAGUAAUUACGAGAAUGAAGCACGUGGUGUUACACAGUUCAUCGAAAAUACACCAAUCAAAAUAUCAAGAAUCUUUAAGUAAAUUCACCGCCAUUGUCAUCUACCAACUCAGCCAACCCAUUAAUCAUAUAAAAAAAUUUGGAAGCAAAAAAAUACUGUAUA
rnacentral:lncRNA from 1 species